AACAAACGCUGGCGGCGUGCCUAAUACAUGCAAGUCGAACGGGGAAAGCUUUCGGGUGAGUACUAGUGGCGCACGGGUGAGGGACGCGUGGCUAAUCUGCCUUAGCGUGGGGGAUAACUAGUCGAAAGAUUAGCUCAUACCGCAUAAGACCACAGGAGCUGCGGCACUAGGGGUCAAAGGUUUUUCGCUCUAAGAUGAGUCCGCGUAAGAUUAGCUAGUUGGUGAGGUAACGGCUCGCCAAGGCGACGAUCUUUAACUGGUCUGAGAGGAUGAUCAGUCACACUGGAACUGAGACACGGUCCAGACUCCUACGGGAGGCAGCAGUAGGGAAUAUUGCACAAUGGAGGAAACUCUGAUGCAGCGACGCCGCGUGAGUGAUGAAGGCCUUCGGGUCGUAAAGCUCUGUCGCAGGGGAAUAACACAAUGAAUGUACCCUGUAAGAAAGGAUCGGCUAACUUCGUGCCAGCAGCCGCAGUAACAC
rnacentral:rRNA from 1 species